rnacentral:rRNA from 1 species
GACAGAGGUGCCGAGCGUUAGGCGGAAUCACUGGGCUUAAAGCGUGUGUAGGUGGAUGCCUAAGUACCUUGUGAAAUCCCACGGCUUAACCGUGGAACUGCUCGGUAUACUGGGUGUCUUGAGCCAGCUAGGGGCUACCGGAACAAAUGGUGGAGCGGUGAAAUGCGUAGAUAUCAGGAAGAACACCCGUGGCUAAGGCGGCUCUCUAGUACGGUACUGACGCUGAGACGCGAAAGCGUGGGGAGCGAACAGG